UGCAAGUCGAGCGAUUUUUUGACCGCAAGGUUGAGAAGUAGCGGCGGACGGCUGAGUAAUGUACAGGAAUCUGCCCCUUAGUGGAACAUAGCUCCGGGAAACCGGGGGUAAUUUUCCAUGGUACUCUCCUUUGGAGAGUUAAAAGCCUUUACCGGUUGCUAAGGGAUGAGCCUGUAUCCUAUCAGGUAGUUGGUGGGGUAAAAGCCUACCAAGCCUAUGACGGGUAGCUGAUCUGGGAGGAUGAUCAGCCAGAGGGGGACUGAGACACGGCCCCCACUCCUACGGGAGGCAGCAAUCAGGAAUAGUCGGCAAUGGGCGAAAGCCUGACCGCGCGACACCGCGUGUAGGAUUUUGAUAUUAUGUAUCGUAAACUACUGUUGGAGGGGAAGAAGAUCAUCGUAAGAUGAUUUGACGGUACCCUCCGAGAAAGGAGCCGCUAACUGCGUGCCAGAAGCGUCGGUAAUACGUGGGCUCCAAGCAUUAUCCGGUUUUAUUGGGCGUAAAGGGUCGUGUAGACUGUUUGAUAAGGUAUCUUUGAAAGCUCGCCGCUUAACGGUGAGUUGGAGAUACGACUGUCAUGACUAGAUUUUCUUUAAGGGUAAUCGGAACUCAGAGAGGAGUAGUGAAAUGCGUUGAUACUCUGGGGAACACCAAUGGCGAAGGCAGAUUACUGGAAGGAAAAUGACGUUGAGACACGAAAGCUAGGGUAGCGAA
rnacentral:rRNA from 1 species